GUCUGGGUAGCUUAGCGGUUAAAGCAUUCCUCUUCUCUCCCGUACUGCUGGGUUAAACCACCUGAAGUCCGGUAUAAAGAAAGAUGGGGUACCACCCAAGUUCAACUCUUGGUCCAGGCG
rnacentral:tRNA from 1 species